UGCUGCUGCAAUGUAAACAGCUAAAUGGCUGUGGAUGGGCAGCAAUGGCUGUAACCUGCUGGUAUUUUUGGUUAUUGUUCUGGGUAGCUCGGGUUACCUGGUUGCUUGACUUGUAUUAAUAAUAGGCCCUUCUACUGAUUGGCUUCUCCAGCUCAUGAAUGGUAAAUAUUUAACAAGUGUGGUUUCUCUUGCUUCAGUCCUCCCCACAGAAUACAUUAUUAAUGCCAUCAUAUGUGUGCAUGAGAGAGACAGAGAAAGAUGAGAAACAGAAUGUAUAAUGGCCUGGAUGGAUUUAAAGAGGUUAAGGACAUGUGUUUGGGAUGAAUGGCUGCAUUACUCAGGAGUAAGGCUACAGUUUUGCCACGGAGGUGGGGUAACAGAAAUCGUGAAUUUGAAUAAGGUCAGUGAAGUCUUGGAAAGGGCUGUACAAAUACAUUUGAUUAGGCCCCCAAACCAAGUGGUGUUGCAGCCUGGCACAUGGGGCACAGCUGCACCAGGUUGCAAACACCCUGAGCAUGGAGCUGUUUUUUCUCCCCACACUUCUGCUGUGAAAUUUACUAAAAUUUCCAUGGCAGGAGUGCCAUGUAUGAGUUAACGCCCAUACAUCUUUCAUGCCAGCUCCCAUACUGAUCUAUUCUGUGUAUGCCACAUGUUAUAGAAAAAAAGUAUAUUGUUAAUAUAAACACCAAGAAACAGAACCCCCAUCCUAAAUGUUUCCCAAUGUUCUUCUCUGCAGGGAACCAUCUGUCACAUAAUUCCCAUUGUAUCAGAAAGAUCUUUUAACCUCUUAUAUUUCUAGAUUGGAGACAGUGGGACUGACCUGGCCUGACUGCUGGAGGGACAACCAAGUGAAGCAUGCCUCUCCAGGUGGAGUUUUGGAUACAUGACGGAGGACAACAUGCAGGCAGAAUUGAUGUUGAUCACUGAUUGUAGAGCCCAGAAGUCCAGUCCAGGAUUAGGACCCUAUUGUGGGGCCGGCUCCAGGGUUUUUGCCACCCAAGCGGCGGGG